rnacentral:pre_miRNA from 1 species
AAAAAGACAAACACUGGAUUUCCGUGUCAAAUAUUUGUUUGUCCGUCUUAUAUGAUUUUUUUUAUAAUUAGUAUUUUCAUUGUUGUUAGAUGAUAAAACAUGAUUAAUACUUUAUGCAUGACUUGUCUUUUAAUUUUUUUUAAAUAAGACGGAUGGACAAACGUUGGACACGGAAACCAGGGUUUGUCUUUUU